GAUGUCUUUCCUACAGACUCCUGAUUGCAGCCUGAGCUUGCCAGAGGAGGGAGAUGUUAAUCAGCCUGGGUUCCACCAGAGUGAAGCAGAGAAGCCCAGACCAUGUGGCCUGUCUUACGAAUCUCUAACCCUUGACAUCUUGAGCCUAUGCUGUCUCCGGUUAAACUGAGGCAUCUAGAGAGGCUGUUCCAGCACCUUUUAUUGAAAAGACAUACUUUUGGGGAGGACUCAAGAUGGCGCUGUGAGAACAACCCAGGAUUGGAGCUCUCAUUGAAUCCGCAAAGAGGUGAGUCCGAGCUGCAUUUUUAGACUGAUCUUUGUUGCCCACAGAACGGGGAAACUCCCAAGUAUAGAAAAGACACGGGACGCCAGGCAGUAAGUCUGCCUGGCGAAGCCGGCAGCCGGGGCGGCGGCGGCCAGCCCUACCCAGCAAUCCCCACAGGGUGCGCUUGUCCGGGUGCCCUGUUGAACCAGCAACCUGAGACUUGAGAGGGCUGGACUUGAGACUGAACGAGACUUGGACAGUAGGCCAGCCCAGGGGAUUGCAGGGACAGAGCGUUCGGGAUACCCAGUGGGACGAACAAAACCGCGAUUUCAAACUAUCCCGAGCAGACGGUCCAAGACGCUCUGUGGGGGAGGGGAAUCCACCACUACCGAGGCAACCUGCCCCAACUGAGAUACACGCCCACUGCUGACGCAGCCAGCCGUUGCCGAGGCAACCCGUCCCUACUGAGAUACACACCCACGCGGACGCAGCCUCCCGUUGCCGAGGCA
rnacentral:lncRNA from 1 species